CUCGUAGGCGGUUCGUCGCGUCCGGUGUGAAAGUCCAUCGCUUAACGGUGGAUCCGCGCCGGGUACGGGCGGGCUUGAGUGCGGUAGGGGAGACUGGAAUUCCCGGUGUAACGGUGGAAUGUGUAGAUAUCGGGAAGAACACCAAUGGCGAAGGCAGGUCUCUGGGCCGUUACUGACGCUGAGGAGCGAAAGCAUGGGUAGCGAACA
rnacentral:rRNA from 1 species